rnacentral:rRNA from 1 species
AAACAACUCUCAGCAAAGGAUAUCUUGGCUCUUGCAACGAUGAAGAACGCAGCGAAAUGCGAUACGUAGUGUGAAUUGCAGAAUUCCGCGAAUCAUCGAGUCUUUGAACGCAAGUUGCGCCCGAGGCUUGUCCGAGGGCAUUUCCGCUAGAGCGUCAC